GAUGAACGCUAGCGGCAGGCCUAAUACAUGCAAGUCUAGGGGGCAGCAAUGUCACCGGCGCACGGGUGCGUAACACGUAUGCAACCUACCUUCUACAGGGGUACAGCCUUCCGAAAGGGAGAUUAAUACCGCAUGAGACCACACUUAUACAUAUAAGAGGGGUUAAAGAUUUAUCGGUAGGAGAUGGGCAUGCGUCUGAUUAGUUAGUUGGCGGGGUAACGGCUCACCAAGACGAUGAUCAGUAGGGGACCUGAGAGGGUAAUCCCCCACACUGGCACUGAGAUACGGGCCAGACUCCUACGGGAGGCAGCAGUAGGGAAUAUUGGGCAAUGGAGGCAACUCUGACCCAGCCAUGCCGCGUGCAGGAAGAAGGCGUUAUGCGUUGUAAACUGCUUUUAUAUGGGAAGAAAAGGCUAUGCGUAGCAAAUUGACGGUACCAUAUGAAUAAGCACCGGCUAACUCCGUG
rnacentral:rRNA from 1 species